GAUGAACGCUGGCGGCGUGCCUAAUACAUGCAAGUCGAGCGAACAGAUGAGGAGCUUGCUCCUCUGACGUUAGCGGCGGACGGGUGAGUAACACGUGGAUAACCUACCUAUAAGACUGGGAUAACUUCGGGAAACCGGAGCUAAUACCGGAUAAUAUAUUGAACCGCAUGGUUCAAUAGUGAAAGACGGUUUUGCUGUCACUUAUAGAUGGAUCCGCGCCGCAUUAGCUAGUUGGUAAGGUAACGGCUUACCAAGGCAACGAUGCGUAGCCGACCUGAGAGGGUGAUCGGCCACACUGGAACUGAGACACGGUCCAGACUCCUACGGGAGGCAGCAGUAGGGAGUCUUCCGCAAUGGGCGAAAGCUUGACGGAGCAACGCCGCGUGAGUGAUGAAGGUCUUCGGAUCGUAAAACUCUGUUAUUAGGGAAGAACAAAUGUGUAAGUAACUAUGCACGUCUUGACGGUACCUAAUCAGAAAGCCACAGCUAACUACGUG
rnacentral:rRNA from 1 species